UAUCUUUUUCUCAGGCUCCUCUCCAUUCUCCAUCUCUGCAGUUCUUUCAGACAGUAACAAUUAUGAGUCAGAGAUGUGACUGUGGGAUGGCAACCCAUUCCUCACUGAUAUCCUGACUUUCUGCUGCAGAAAAGGUGAGCCUCAGGAUCACCCAGUGACUUGUCCAUGGUCAAGAAUUCAGUGAUGGACAAAAGUCUUUGAAGCUGCUUUGUGCUGAAUUUAAUGAGCCUGAUUGUCAUCUUCCAGAAGAGAGCGCGGAGCGUCUGUGCACCCGCUGGAUGGAAUCACUCAUCGAUCUUGGUGUCGCACCAGGCAAGCAGUUGGAGAACCAGAGCAGGAUGUGAAAUCAAUCUAACAGUCUAUUUAUAGAGCAGGCAGUGCCUUUGUCAUGGUGAUCUGACCAGAGUAGGAAUGGCAACAUCUGCAGCAUAUGACUCCCACAAAUUAAAACCCAUGUCCUGGAAGCAUGGAAAAGGAAACUCAUUUUUUUUUUCUCAAAAAUACCAUAUAACUGCAGACUUCCCUUCGCCCUGGCCAUGUCAUCUCUGUAAUAUUCAAGCUAUUGCUUGCUUCUGUCCCUCCAUUGUGUAUGCCCUCCCUUCAUUCUUCAUCGUUUUUUUUUUUUUAUUCACUAAGCAUUUAUUUGCUCCCUUAUGAGUUAGACAUUGUAUAAAAUGCCACAAAGAAUUUAGAGACCAUGACAUGAGGAUUCUAUCUUGAUCCAUUGGAUUAAUAAGCACAAAACUCAACAUUAAAACAUUCAUUGUCCGACUACUUCCCCA